AUUCAGCCAAGAAGGGUACGUAUAGUUUUUAAGUAUGUACAGGGAUAAUAUUAAUCAGCUCAUUAGUACUGAAGAACAGAAGACUUAUACAGCCCUACACAGUCUGUGACCUUGAGGUUUGAACUAAUUCUAAAAAGACAUUAACCACUGACAUUUGUCAGCAACCCAUGUAGAUGUGCUAAAAAUUAAAUCAGAAUCUUUGGUAUUUACCAGGGUUGCUCAAUACUGGCCAUCCAAAAGUUCUUUAAGCUACUAGAACUAAGUGUUGCCUGUAGAUGGCUGAACUUAUGGGAGUUUUAGUCCAACAACAUCUGGGAGAUUAAGAUUUAACAUCCUGGUUUACACCAUUAAAUCACUUAGGCAUUCUUACUUUGUUCCCUUUAUAGAGAAAUUUGGCACAUAGCUAGAUCUACACAGUGGACUAAUUAUUUUGCUUAACUAAAGAUUGAAAGCAUUCAGGGUCCUCUUCUUCUUUGAGCUUGACUUGGAAAAAUCCCAAGCUCUGAAACAAGGAAAGAUGAUGCAGGAGCAGGAAAUGAUGAUUAGUGAUGGCAGCAUUGCGAAGAUGUUAAAGUUUGUAUUGGAUAAUUAGAAGAAAGUCAGGAAAUAAUCAUCUAUCAGAGUUCCAAUUAAGACUGUAACAAAAUCCAGCAGGCUACUGCUAACUGAAAGCUUUUUUAAUCCUUUCCCACUGUAAAGACUGGUAAAUAUGCCAAGAAAUGUCUAGUGACACAAAUAAAAAGAAAAAUACAAUCUUGUUUAAAGAAUGUUUUAUGUACAUUUUACGUGACAAGGCCUGAUAAAAUCCUGCAUUUACUUGGAAAUGCUAGAUAUUUGCAUUUUAACAAUGUAAUGUAUAGUUCUAAUUGUAGUCUGUUUACUAAACAGUGACAUAUGGUGUAUUAAGAGCCAAGAACAACAUUUAAGCAACAGUAACAUAGUAACAGCC